rnacentral:rRNA from 1 species
AGGACGAACGCUGGCGGCGUGCUUAACACAUGCAAGUCGAACGAUGAUCCGGUUUCGGCCGGGGAUUAGUGGCGAACGGGUGAGUAACACGUGGGCAACCUGCCCUCCACUCUGGGAUAACUCCGGGAAACCGGGGCUAAUACUGGAUAUGAUCUUCGGGCGCAUGCUUGGGGGUGGAAAGUUUUUCGGUGGAGGAUGGGCCCGCGGCCUAUCAGCUUGUUGGUGGGGUGAUGGCCUACCAAGGCGGUGACGGGUA